rnacentral:rRNA from 1 species
UACAGAGGGUGCAAGCGUUGUUCGGAAUUACUGGGCGUAAAGGGCGCGUAGGCGGCCGAUCAAGUCGGGGGUGAAAGCCUGUGGCUCAACCACAGAAUUGCCUUCGAUACUGUUUGGCUUGAGACCGGAAGAGGUUAGUGGAACUGCGAGUGUAGAGGUGAAAUUCGUAGAUAUUCGCAAGAACACCAGUGGCGAAGGCGGCUGACUGGUCCGGUUCUGACGCUGAGGCGCGAAAGCGUGGGGAGCAAACAGG